UUGCUUGAUUUUUCUACGGAAAAGCCCUAUAUUGAUGGUGCUGGUUUUCCAGCUAUGGCGAUAAACGUUUCGCAUAAUAAUCCCAUCGGACCCGGGGGCAGUACCCGGCGCCUCCACCAUCACCGACUACCGAAUAUGGGGGCGAAAUAGGAUCGACGAGGGCCUAAAGGCGAUGCUUUCGCUCGGCAUGGUACCACCGCAUCGGGCCAAACCUAUAGUUGCCAAUGACAACUAUGCGGAACUUCGCCUCGCUGCGUAAGCGGCGCGGUUAGUUCGAUUUAAGUCCUGAUUCCGUCGCUGGAGUUAGGCGGGGUUUUGGCGGGCGCCUGGCAACAGAAGCCCGCCGCU
rnacentral:tmRNA from 1 species